CAGAAUAGAAAUUCAGAAUAUUAUAACUCAGUUUGCUGAGGAACCAAGGCUCAUUUUCUCCUGCUUAUUUAAACAAAAUUUUCUGCUCCCAGUGGGAUUGUAGGAGGGCUGAUCUCCAUGGCAACCAGGUCCCCAGCCUUGUUGGCCUUAGCCAGGUCAGGCUUCAGAGUUCGGGUCUAACAUAGCCUUACACACUCAUAAUGAGGUCACAACCAUAGCUCUGUCUGGGACCUGAUACUAGUCUAUGAUGAUCCUCCAGAAGAGAAUCUGAGAAUCCAGCCCACUCAGCCAGGGGCUGCAAGGUCCUGAGUAUGCCUUCCAGAGAACCACAUGGUGGCUCUUCAGAGAGUGCUCUUUCAAGCCAGAGGGAAGUCAGUGGUGAUGGAAUGUUGAUGGCAGUAUUAACAUGACUCAUAAAAUGCUGUAACUGUGCUCCCUAGGGAAGCUCAACAACAGGACUACACAGGGCAGAGGAAUGCUUUGUCAAUCCUUGCAGGAACUCCCCGGCGUACAUAUUCUGGCACGUGAAAGAAUAUUUCCAGAACAGGAACAAAAUAUGAGAAAGACCUAUGGAAGAACAGAAGGCCCAGAACAGGAUAGAAACCUCACAGGAAGACCAACAGUGCCAAGUAGGGGUGUCUCCCAGUACAUCCAGAGGAAGAGCCGUGACCCACAUAGAGCUGAGGAUACUCCAAACUUUUCAGACCCUCCUGGGACUGCCUUCCUCAUUUUAGGUAAGGAUGACUCAAGGCGGAUGCUGACAGAGGCAGGACUGUGUCAAAAGUGGCACCAAGGGAGCUGGCACUGUCCUCUCUCCUUCUGGGGCGUGACUUCAGAUCUCAUCCUUGAGUGGCUGCAGCUCACAAAGAUGUUCUGUGAGACAAAAUGAGUCACCAUAACACUGGCUCCCUUUGACAGCUCCUGCUAUGCAGUGAACCAUGCACACCACAUCAGAGCAGAGUGCAACCCUGCCUUGAACUACAGCUUCCUGCCUUGAGCUUGCAGGAUCCCGCUGAGGACAGAGUGGUAUUUUUACCAUCUGCCUAGAUGCCUGAAUCACAGGCUGUUAUAUUUGGGGGCUUCCUCAACAUUGCUCUAGUUCUGUUUGUUACCAACUCUGAAAUGCUCAGGUACUUCUCAACGUCCGCCAUCAUUUUCACUGGAGAACUUCUGGUGAUGAGUAUCUUACUAAAUGAAUCACCCAGCGUGGGCACAACCCACCACCAAGUCCACCCACAGCUCAGAUCUAUGCAUUCCCAAAACUACUUAGCCAUGGAAGUCAAGGACUGUAAUUUUGUUCAUUUCAGUUAAUGAUGCUUGGGGUCAAGAUGACCGGCCUGAGGCUGUAGCUGAAGAGGUCAGUGGGAUGGAGAGCUGAGGAAUGGCCCUUCAGUGUGACUCUCAUGGCCACAGCUGGCCAUGGCAUUGUUUUCUUUCCAGCCUCAUGUUGCAGGCCUGGUCCUGGGCUCCAUCUUCUCAAGUCUGGUUGUGUGUAGUGACCUCCUGAUUCCCUCCCUCACUCUGAAUGCCCUAUUCCUGGCCAUCACCCACGCUCCUGCUGAGUGAGUCUUCCCCCUCCAUUUCCAUAAACCUUUAGUCUGCCUCCCCAUCGGCUGUGUAAUAGAACAAGGUCCUUGGUGGAGUUUAAGGCUCCAAUCCAGCAGUCCAUAGAAGUAGCUCGCAACAUUGACCCAUGUGUUCUUCUCUCACAAAUUCACUUAUUUCAGUAUUCGAACCUUUCUACCAUUCUCCAAGCUUUGUGCCUUCUUCCCUGGAUGUCUUUCAAGAACCAAAACUACUUUCCCUUUAAAGAUGUUCUCAGGUCUCAGCCCUGAGCUGCCCUUCCUGGAUCCCUGCUCUGGGCCAUACCACACUAUGUCCUGGGAUCACUCACCAUUACAGAGAUAUAUCAGAGGAUAGACUAUAUCCUGUAAAGAGAUGUGUUCCUCAGGGGCUGGUUGGUUUUGUUGAUGUUUCACACUAUAGAACCACCUGGGAAGAGAGUCUACAUGAGAGAUGGCCUAAAUCAAGGGUUGUUUUGAUUUUCAUUCCCCUGAUGACUAAGGAUGUUGAACACUUUUUUAGGUGCUUCUCAG